CGAACUGCUUUAAAGCUUGGUUUUGACUCCGUCUACAGCAGAAUGUCUUACAAAUACAAAGUUCUGAAUUAUCAUUUAUAAUCUAAUAUUGUUUAAACUUAUAUUUCAUGAAAAUUAAAAAAGAAAUUUUGAAUUGCCUUUCAAAUUAUAAAUCUACUUUAAAGCUUAAUGCUACCACGUUUCCAAGAUGGAGACGAGUAAAACAAAAUGGAGACGAUUAGGAACAAAUGGACUAGAAGAGAAAACAGAUGGAAAUGCAAAAUGGGGACUUUGAAAAGAAUUCCUCAAAAGAAGAUAUAAAGAGUUAAGCCUGGAGGGAGAAAUAUGGCUUUCUGUUAAAACCAGUCAGUCUUUUUCUCUCUUCAUUUGAUACUCGUACACUCAUCAUUCUACACAGACUCUACACAGACUCUACACAGACUCUACACAGACUCUACAUCAAAUUUGGCAGAUUUCUUAUUUCAAAUAUUUGGGGUAUUUUCAAAAAGUCAGAAUAGACAACAAGUACAUGACUGAACCCUGAUUGGAUCAGGCGCUAAUGGAUCGGCAUACAGGAGUGACAGAUUAACUUCAUCCAUCAUUCCUCGAGGAUUUUCCGUGAAGGUUAUACCGUGCAGAACUAUAAGUGACCACAAAGGAUAUUUACCUGGAUGCCUUGCAGAAACUAGCUCUUCAACAUGCAAAAACUACGCAGGUAA